GAUAUACUCCCUCCGUCCCAAAAUUCUUGUCUUAGAUUUGUCUAAAUACGGAUGUAUCGAGUCACAUUUUAGUAUUAGGUACAUCCGUAUCUAGACAAAUUUAAGACAAGAAUUUUGGGACGGAGGGAGUAUAUU
rnacentral:pre_miRNA from 1 species